rnacentral:rRNA from 1 species
GACGAACCGAGCGAACGUUGUUCGGAAUCACUGGGCUUAAAGGGCGCGUAGGCGGCUUGCCAAGUCAGGGGUGAAAUCUUUCGGCUCAACCGGAAAAGUGCCUUUGAUACUGGCGAGCUAGAGGGAGGUAGGGGUGCGUGGAACUUCUGGUGGAGCGGUGAAAUGCGUAGAUAUCAGAAGGAACGCCGGUGGCGAAAGCGACGCACUGGAUCUCUACUGACGCUGAGGCGCGAAAGCCAGGGGAGCGAACGGG